rnacentral:RNase_P_RNA from 2 species
AGCGACUGAUUGAUGACCGCUGCCGGAGAAAUCGAAAGGUUUCGCCCGGGAGAGGAAAGUCCGAACACCACAAGGCAACGCGCCGCGUAGAAUGCGCGGGGACGGUCGGCGAAAGCCGGUCGUGACAGACAGUGUCACAGAGAACAUACCGCCGCCGGUCGCAAGGCCGGCGGUAAGGGUGAAAAGGCGGGGUAAGAGCCCACCGCCCGGCGCGCAAGCGACGGGGCACGACAAACCUCGCGUGGUGCAAGACAGAACAGAGGGUCCGCGCCGCCUGCGCCCGGUCCGCAAGGAUUGGAACCCUCGGGUAUUAGUCGCACCCCCUUCGCGGGGGCCGCAGCCUUUACCGGCGGCGGCAGAGAAAUGGUCAUCCGGCGGCCUUCGGGUCGCCGACAGAAUUCGGCUUAGGAUCGGUCACCAAAA